UCCUGGUUUCCCAGGCAGUCCCACCAGAGUGCCUUCCGAAGAAGUAGCAACUGGCAGCAAGGGUUGCGCUCGUUAAAGGACUUAACCCAACAUCUCACGACACGAGCUGACGACAGCCAUGCAGCACCUGUGAACAUGUCUAUGCUUUCGCAUAGAAAGCUACGUUUCUGUAGCGGUCAUGCACAUGUCAAGCCCAGGUAAGGUUCCUCGCGUAGUGUCGAAUUAAACCACAUGUUCCACCGCUUGUGCGGACCCCCGUCAAUUCCUUUGAGUUUUAAUCUUGCGACCGUACUCCCCAGGCGGAUCACUUAUCGCGUUAGCUACGACACCGAUUCCGCAAAGCGGAACCGACGUCUAGUGAUCAUCGUUUACAGCGUGGACUAC
rnacentral:misc_RNA from 1 species